AGCACCAAUAGCGUAUCUUAAUGUUGUUGCAGUUAAAAAGCUCGUAGUCGAAUUUCUGGCGGGGAUGUGUCGCAACUCGCAGACUUCAGCCCACGUCAUCCACCUGUGAGCAGGUUUCGUUCUUCACCGAUCGGGCCUAGGAGCAGGUACUUUACUUUGAAGAAAUUAGAGUGUUUCAGGCAAGCUUUCGCUUGAAUACACCAGCAUGGAAUAAUGGAAUAGGACUGCUAUCUUUUAUUGGUCAUUGAUGGUAGUAAUGAUUAAUAGGAACAGUUGGGGUCAUUAAUACUUGUAAGUCAGAGGUGAAAUUCUUCGAUUUUACAAAGAUUAACUAAUGCGAAGGCAUUUGACAAGGAUGUUUUCA
rnacentral:rRNA from 1 species